AUAAUAAAUUAAAGAUUUAACCAAAAAUAAUCUUUGAUGACCCGUCUUUAGAUCCAAUAAGCCCUAUAAUUAAGAAAUAAAUAUUGUCGUUAAAUAAUUUUGGUAACCUUAAUGACGUCAUUAAAAGAUUUUUUUUUGAUUAAAUUUUUCUAAUGGCAUUGUCCUGUAAUUAAUUACAAAAAUUAAGGUUAUAUUUAAAAUGUACUUCCCAAAUAAUAUAGUAAGAUUAAAAAAAUUGGAUUGUAAGUUUAAAAGUAAAACUACAACACAAUUAGUAAGUAAUCAAGGCUUUAAGAAAAAUUAAGACGGUAAGUCAGACUUACAGCCCAAUCAAUCAUACACUAAAGUUACACAAUAUACAUA
rnacentral:sRNA from 1 species